GACGAACGCUGGCGGCGUGCUUAACACAUGCAAGUCGAGCGGAAAGGCCCUUCGGGGUACUCGAGCGGCGAACGGGUGAGUAACACGUGAGUAACCUGCCCUGGACUUUGGGAUAACCCUCGGAAACGGGGGCUAAUACCGGAUACCUCCUUCUGGCCGCAUGGUUGGUUGGGGAAAGUUUUUCGGUCUGGGAUGGGCUCGCGGCCUAUCAGCUUGUUGGUGGGGUGAUGGCCUACCAAGGCGACGACGGGUAGCCGGCCUGAGAGGGCGACCGGCCACACUGGGACUGAGACACGGCCCAGACUCCUACGGGAGGCAGCAGUGGGGAAUAUUGCACAAUGGGCGGAAGCCUGAUGCAGCGACGCCGCGUGAGGGAUGACGGCCUUCGGGUUGUAAACCUCUUUCAGCAGGGACGAAGCGAGAGUGACGGUACCUGCAGAAGAAGCGCCGGCCAACUACGUGCCAGCAGCCGCCGUAACAC
rnacentral:rRNA from 1 species